UACGAAGGGUGCAAGCGUUACUCGGAAUUACUGGGCGUAAAGCGUGCGUAGGUGGUUUGUUAAGUCUGCUGUGAAAGCCCCGGGCUCAACCUGGGAAUGGCAGUGGAUACUGGCAAGCUAGAGUGCGGUAGAGGGUAGUGGAAUUCCCGGUGUAGCGGUGAAAUGCGUAGAGAUCGGGAGGAACACCAGUGGCGAAGGCGGCUACCUGGACCAGCACUGACACUGAGACGCGAAAGCUAGGGUAGCGAACGGG
rnacentral:rRNA from 1 species